rnacentral:rRNA from 1 species
GACGAACGCUGGCGGCGUGCUUAAUACAUGCAAGUCAACUUGACUUUAGAUAGCAAUAUCGAAAAGUAGGGUGGCGCACGGGUGCGUAACGCGUAGGUAAUCUGCCCUGAGGUCUGACAUAACCCGUCGAAAGGCGGGCUAACAUCAGAUGAUAUAUAAUCACGACAUCGUGGAAAUAUCAAAUCUUCGGAGCCUUGGGAUGAGCCUGCGUCUGAUUAGGUAGUUGGCGGAGUAAUAGCCCACCAAGCCUACGAUCAGUAGCUGGUCUGAGAGGAUGAUCAGCCACACUGGAACUGAGACACGGUCCAGACUCCUACGGGAGCAGCAGUAAGGAAUAUUGCUCAAUGGGGAAACCCUGAAGCAGCAACGCCGCGUGAAGGAUGAAAUACUUU